rnacentral:lncRNA from 1 species
GCAUCAGCAAGCCUGUGGGGAGAGUCUGCAAGGGCCGCCCCCUGGGAGAGCACGGAGAAGGCGCAGGUCCUGCCAGGGAAGGAAAGCCAGCCUACCGUGCUCCCGUGCCUUUCUCCAAUUGGACUAAGAUCAGAGGACACCCUCAUCCCCCACCCCAGGACUUCACGGGCCACGAGGGCUGCAAUGACGAGGAGGAGGCUUCCCAUUGGCUGAAACCCACUAUGACCUCAAGGCAAGGGAGCCUGGGCGGUGGAGGACCCACAGGCCUCAGUUUCCUCAUCUGUAAAGUGAGGAUUGGAACCCAACCCAGGAUUGGCUCCCCUCUUGUGCUUACAUCCCAGAACCCCAGCUGGUCCUGGGGCUCUGCUCUCUGCGCCCCACUGCGCCUCGCAGAGAAGCCGAUCAGCACGAGCUUUCAGAAUGGAAGGAUGACGCCCUGCGUGUGACAGUGUACAAGGUGUACCAAGUUAAAAGAGUCGCUGCAGAUGCAACUUCAUCUUCAAGCGUGGAGCAUUAUAGUAUGGUUGUACCUAUGUUAAAAUUAUAAAG